rnacentral:rRNA from 1 species
GAUGAACGCUGGCGGCGUGCCUAAUACAUGCAAGUCGAGCGAACAGACGAGGAGCUUGCUCCUCUGACGUUAGCGGCGGACGGGUGAGUAACACGUGGAUAACCUACCUAUAAGACUGGGAUAACUUCGGGAAACCGGAGCUAAUACCGGAUAAUAUAUUGAACCGCAUGGUUCAAUAGUGAAAGACGGUUUUGCUGUCACUUAUAGAUGGAUCCGCGCCGCAUUAGCUAGUUGGUAAGGUAACGGCUUACCAAGGCAACGAUGCGUAGCCGACCUGAGAGGGUAAUCGGCCACACUGAAACUGAGACACGGUCCAGACUCCUACGGGAGGCAGCAGUAGGAAAUCUUCCGCAAUGGGCGAAAGCCUGACGGAGCAACGCCGCGUGAGUGAUGAAGGUCUUCGGAUCGUAAAACUCUGUUAUUAGGGAAGAACAAAUGUGUAAGUAACUAUGCACGUCUUGACGGUACCUAAUCAGAAAGCCACGGCUAACUACGU